rnacentral:lncRNA from 1 species
GAGAACUUUUGGAAUAGUUUUAAGAAGAACCACCUGUGGACUAUUGCUUAUUUUUUACUACCCCUGUUUAUUUUCUGUCUCUCCUCUCGUCCUCUUUCACUCCCUCCCUAACCCCAUUCCCUGCCCACCUCUCCUUACCCCUCUCACCCCUCUCGUCUUUUCUCUGCUGUGUCUACUUCUUGGACUGAUUUAUUUGGCACAGCUUUUUCCAGAGCGGUCUGGAAUGCACUGUUCUAUAUUUGUCGGCUGCUGAAGCUAUCUUCUCCAUCGUGGAUGAGGCUGAAUCCUGGUGCUCCUUUGGGAAGGACAGGUGGACUUCACUAUUGUGGUGUUGCGCCACAAUAUCAAUCACCUGCUGAGAGUUUGAAUGUAGUUGGAACCAAGGAAAAGCUUUGGAACUGA